AUUGCCCUAGUAACGGCGAGUGAAGCGGCAACAGCUCAAAUUUGAAAUCUGGCUCUUUUAGGGUCCGAGUUGUAAUUUGCAGAGGGCGCUUUGGCUUUGGCAGCGGUCCAAGUUCCUUGGAACAGGACGUCACAGAGGGUGAGAAUCCCGUACGUGGUCGCUAGCUAUUGCCGUGUAAAGCCCCUUCGACGAGUCGAGUUGUUUGGGAAUGCAGCUCUAAAUGGGAGGUAAAUUUCUUCUAAAGCUAAAUACUGGCCAGAGACCGAUAGCGCACAAGUAGAGUGAUCGAAAGAUGAAAAGCACUUUGGAAAGAGAGUCAAACAGCACGUGAAAUUGUUGAAAGGGAAGCGCUUACAGCCAGACUUGCUUGCAGUUGAUCAUCCGGGCUUUUGCCCGGUGCACUCUUCUGUAGGCAGGCCAGCAUCAGUUUGGGCGGUGGGAUAAAGGUCUCUGUCAUGUACCUCUCUUCGGGGAGGCCUUAUAGGGGAGACGACAUACCACCAGCCUAGACUGAGGUCCGCGCAUCUGCUAGGAUGCUGGCGUAAUGGCUGUAAGCGGCCCGUCUUGAAACACGGACCAAGGAGUCUAACAUCUAUGCGAGUGUUUGGGUGUCAAGCCCGAGCGCGUAAUGAAAGUGAACGGAGGUGGGAACCCGCAAGGGUGCACCAUCGACCGAUCCUGAAGUUUUCGGAAGGAUUUGAGUAAGAGCAUGGCUGUUGGGACCCGAAAGAUGGUGAACUAUGCUUGAAUAGGGUGAAGCCAGAGGAAACUCUGGUGGAGGCUCGCAGCGGUUCUGACGUGCAAAUCGAUCGUCAAAUUUGGGCAUAGGGGCGAAAGACUAAUCGAACUAUCUAGUAGCUGGUUCCUGCCGAAGUUUCCCUCAGGAUAGCAGUAACGUAUUCAGUUUUAUGAGGUAAAGCGAA
rnacentral:rRNA from 1 species